UCCCUUUAAGAAGUUACCGACAUUUUGAAAGAGUCAGUACAGAGUUAGUAAUUUUUUAAAAUGACUUUUGCUUAUUGAUUUUACAUGUGCACACCGCAGUAACAAAUGUGGAGGUCAGAGGACAACUUGGGGAAGUUGGAUCCCUCCUCCCACCACGUGGGUCCUGGGGACUGAACUCAGUUUAUUAGGUUUGCUGAUACACUGAGCCAUCUCCCUGUCCUAUCGCAGGAGGCUUACCAGGAGCAGGGAAGACAGUGUUCAUUAUGUACUUUCUGUCAAGUGAUGAGUGAAAAAAUCUGCCUGUUUUCAUGAACAGCCCUGAAAGCGACUCCAUCAUGGAUCUCUACGGACCUCUGGACGAGUACAGGUUGGAAUGGCCUGCAUAUGUUCCCAAGGGCGUGCUGCAGAGGACAGCGGACCCUGGACUCUCACACAAAAUGGAAGAGCACAGAGCACCCAGGAAGUAAAUGAGGGGCUUCAAGAGAGCGGGGCGACUUCCUCAUUGCAUUUCCAGUUGCAUCACUGACCACUUCAGUCCCUUUAGUACACCUGAUCAUCCGGGAAUUCCCUGCCAGACGUAACUCCCAGAGCCAUACUCCUCCGCAGCCACAGGACCUGACCCACCAAAGCCCUUCAAGUCUGGGUCCGGCGUACCCACAGGCGUUCCAUCCGCCAGUGCUGAGACUCCAGUAGCCCCAGCACUUGGCCCAGCAUCUUGGCUUUUAUUCUCUCUAAAGACAACAAAGGCAAGACUCACCCUUCCUUGUGCACUCAUAACCAAGUACCCAAGAGUCAGGGGUGGGAUCUGUGUCCCAGGCAGGCAAUGAGACAGCAAAAGUUUCUCAGUCGCUGCCUGGGCAGAACUAGGUGAGUGCCUUUCAGUUACAAGGAUUGAUAUUAUUGGUCUUUGGUUUUAGAGGACCCAGAGUAGAGAGUGGUUUGGCAUUGCUAGGCCUGUGGCAUUGUUGUUUCUGUAUGUUUACGUGAGAAUGUGAAGCAGAUGUUUGCUGCCAGCUCAGAGGUGGGGGGAUAUUGUUGGCCAGUGGAAAAGGAGUGAUUUGAGACAUGCAUACUCAUAUGACCGGCUCUGAACAAGUGGCAUAGACAGAAACACCAUGGCUUCAAAUGGGAGGAAAAUUGUAAAUCAGGGGUAGCAGGAGUAGUUAAAACUUAAAAAGACAUGGAGGGAAGUCUUCACUCAAAACCCAAGGAGAUCUGUUUAACUGCCUAAAAAGCAGAAAAAUGGAAGAGAAAAAUCUGUUUGGUCUCUGUUAUUAAUCUUGUCUUUAAAAGUACAUCUCUUUGUAAAGUAGAUGGUUGGAGACAGGGGAGGGCAAGACCACUGCAUCCUGGCAUCCUUAGGUGUUAAACUGGGAGAGCGAGAGACGCAAGCAGACAGCAGUACCCUUGGUCCCUGAGGAGAAAAGCCCAUUCGUGCUGACGGAUGAGUACCAGACCAUGAGACUUGUCUGCAGCCACUGCGCGGGGCACAUCCUGGAGACAAAGAGGCUCCAUCUCAGCCAGGCCCCCUUUAUAGUGUUUGUGUCCAUCAGUGGACGGAGCAGUCAUACCCUUUUGUCUUCGCCUUGGUGGUGCAGCCUGGAAGAUACCUACCCGAGCCAGUCUCUGAAAGGAAACUGACUUAGAGUAUAUCCUCCAGCAGGGGGCAGCACUGCAUAAACAUUACUGCACAGCAUGAACCACACUGUUUUCCGUCUAGGGCUGGAGUUCCUGUGUUACUGAAGAAUUAAUAUUCACGGCUACAGAAUUAAGUGGCUGCUUUGUACACGGUCUUUUAGAGGCACAGACCGUACAUCCUAGCACAGCUUAAAACAUCGCCGCGCUAACAGUGCAUCCCACGUUUUGGUCUGCUCCUCUGGUGUGGGUCCCCAAGAGUAUGUGUCUGUCCCUCUGCAUACAGCUGUCCAGUGUGGCUUUGAGUCCUCCCCUUUCAUCUGACUAUUCACGAGUGCAACCAAAUAAAAUGUAUGCUGUUCGGCCUCAGCACCAGAACAUUACCGAUGGAAAUUUUGCUUAAAGAAAAAUAUUUUGGGAAACAUA